AGAAGAGGAGAGUUUGAGGAGAAGGGCCUGGAGACCGAAGGAGCCCAAAUCCUUGGGGGAAGUGGGAGAGAGGAAUGGAGCGACAAUGGGAAAAGGGAGCUCGUUUUGGAGGAAGGAGAAUUGCUGGGGGCGGAGCACUUUGCUGGCGACGGAGGCUUCCACCGGAAAAGGGUCUCCGGGGACGGACUUGACCCAGCCGUCGUGGCACUGCGGCGAGGCCAGGUUGAGGUCCCAGAACGCCGAAUCAAUGGCCGUCUUAAGCCUCGCCAUUGACGAGUGCGAGUGCGAGUGCGUGCUUAGGUUCUUCUGUUGCGUGGUUUUGUGUUGGGUUUGAGAGGUUUGACCUCACUACUUCUUAUCCACUUCUUUUUCACCUUUUCCAUUUCAAAUUGUAAAAGUCUUUUUCUUUUUUCCUUUUUUUUUUUUAGUUUUAUUCGUCAAUGUAAUGUAAGAGUUUCUUUUUUUUUUUUUUUUUAUAAUUUCUAGAUAUUUAAAGACUAAAUAUGAUUUUAUUUUUAAACUUUUUUUAGUAAGUCACUUGAUAUGAAUGAAAAUACAGAUGUAUUUAUGAAUAUAGUAAAAUUAUUUUAAUAAGUGAAUAUUCAUUAAUGUCUAUCCCAACAUUUUAGAAGUUCAUGUUGACCAACUUUUAGAGGCUCAUUAAUUUUUAACCAGUCUCUUUCACAUAAAUUUUUACAGUAUUUUUAAUUUAAAACUUAAAAUAAAAAAUCUAUAAUUUAAAAAUUUGUAUUUUAAAAAUAUAAUAGUUUAAAAAUAGUAAUACUCAAUUAUUUUAAUAUAAUAUCUGAGUUAUGAACGAAUUUUAUUGUUUUAAAGCAUACAAUUUUUUAGAAAUAUUUUUUUUAGUUUUUUUUAUUUAUUUUUGUUUGUUAAAUUGAAGAAUCAAGACCGUAACAUUUAUUUUGACGACAAGUUUUUUAAUUUGGACCAAUCAGUUUCUUCGUUGAGUAAGUUGAGAUUUAACUUUUUUUUUUCUUGUAUUUGUUGCAUGUGGGCCUUGCUUAACUUGCAUGAGUCUUUUGAGUCUUUGGUUUGAGUCUUUAUUAAUCAAUGGUUCUAACAGUGUACCCUGAUCGUUUUUCUGUUAUUCAUAGGAGCGGAUAGAGCUUCCUGAGCUUUUGGAGUUGUUUUAGGACCCUAGAGCUAUUUGAUCAUUUGUUAGGUAAGGGAAACUAGCUACUUUGAUUUUGGCUCAUAGGAAAACUUUGAUUAAUGCUUGUAUGGUUAUAUGGUAGUUGGAUUAUGUAAUUGUGUUGUCUGAUGAGAUAUGACUUGAAUUACGAAACUUGAAUUACCUUAGAUAUAAUGUUAUUGAAACUUUAUUAUGAUUUAAUGAUUGAACUUGUAUUUGGAGUGAAUUGUAUUGUUGAAAUGCCUAUGGUUUGAGGAUUGGUUGGUUUGAACAUCUCUAGGGUCUAAUAUUGAUUUUGUAAGGUUGGAAUGACAUAAAUUUGUAGAAUUUUGUUUUAUAGAAUUAUGCAGACACGCUGAG
rnacentral:lncRNA from 1 species